GUUGAAAUGUCACAAAAUAUUAUCCAUGGGCUUGAGGCCCAUCACACUCAUAGCAAGAGAAAGAAAGGGUUCGACAUGUGUGUUUCAGUAGUUCUUGAUCAAAUUACUUACUUUCAAACACCUUUAGCCGUAGAACCUAGAUUCACCGCGCCAGAAAUUUCCUCCGGCAGCAUAUAUCGUUAUAACCGUCUCGCUCUCCUCUCCCACUAUCUCACAUUACCUUCUCUUAAUUCUCAACCAACACGGCAAAUCAAACUCAAGAGCGCAUGAACCCUAAGCUAUUAGAAAAAAACGAAAAAUACACUGCUAUGGGAGCUUAAUCCGAACUCAAACCCUAGGGGUUUGGUUCAGGUGCGUUGCUACUACAUCAUAAUGACCAGAUUGAGCAAGAAGAUGAAAGGUUAGCACCCACCUACAAGGCGGAGGUAGCCUUGGUGCUUGUUGAAAUCCAAAAUGGUGAAGAAUGUAGAUAUCCAGAGGAACCAGAGGUUUGCUAGUCCUAUGAGAUAAAGCAUGGAUCAUGGAGAGUUUGGCAUAAAGGCAACAUGGCAUGAAGAAAUAUAGCAUGGAUCACUUGGCCAUGAAGGAAACUUGGGCAAAUUUUGGGGUAUGACACCUAACUCUUGAGGUAUCGCCCAUGCAGUUAGAGGUUCAGGAAGUUAAGCAGUUGCGUGGUAGGAGAUUACCUUAGUGAAGGUAGCUUGGGGAGGACCAGCUGGUGGAAACGUGACUUAGGAGCUUGAGAGUCAGAUGACAGAGUCAUAUCUGAAUCUAUUUACCUAAGGUAAUUUUCGAGGGCGAAAAAUCUUUAUGUGAGGGAGAGUUGUAACACCCUGUCAUAUCCCAAAAUUUGUCCUACUUUUUGUCAUUUUUUCGCCUGACUUUUGAUCUUGUUGAUUUGCAUACACUUAUCUCUUUGGUCAUGCAUUUAGGUCAUUCAUCGACAUUUGCAUGUUGUAACAAGUUCAUCCCAAAGGAUCGGUCAUAAUGAAUUUGUUCAGUUUAAGUGGA